UUCCCAGCGGCAAGCUUUCUCUCAAAGAACCUGGAGCAAUUUUUUAUAUAUACAUAUAUUAGAAAUCAUGUUUGAAAGCCGCCACAACCAGUUGUAUAGGCAUGUCAAAAGUGACUUUAUACAGUAAAUAUGAAAUAAACCUUCAGCAUACCAGAAUAGGAGUCCUGUCUUAACUGAGCAAUAUACACUAUGGAGAGAUCCUUCAAAACCCGUCGGGACGAAUAACAGAUGAAUUCAUAAAACUGUUCAUCUCUGUUAUCCUGAAUGGUCACUCAGACAACAUUUUACUCAACUAUAAAGGGGAACACUUAAAGUGCAUAUGAGAAGAGAAGAGAAUGACCACAGGAGAAAAUCAUCUCAGGCCACGAUUUCCUAACCAGAAUCUGUAAGAGAGAUUCCAAGAACUUGGGAGAAGCAUAUUGUGUGAUGUUCUAUAUUUAUGAGACCCAUAGCAAACUGUGAAGAGAUAACAGAAUGCUUUUUGCGUGAGCUGAAACAGUAGAUGAAAUCUUUCAUUAAAAUUACUCAUACUUUGGGUCCUAUUCUUAUUUAUAAAUAAAUAUUAUUGCAAACAUUU
rnacentral:lncRNA from 1 species